GACGAACGCUGGCGGCGUGCUUAACACAUGCAAGUCGAACGGAAAGGCCCUGCUUGCAGGGUGCUCGAGUGGCGAACGGGUGAGUAACACGUGGGUGAUCUGCCCCUUACUUUGGGAUAAGCCUGGGAAACUGGGUCUAAUACUGGAUAGGACCAUGCUGUAGGUGGUGUGGUGGAAAGAUUAGUUUCGGUAAGGGAUGAGCUCGCGGCCUAUCAGCUUGUUGGUGGGGUAAUGGCCUACCAAGGCGUCGACGGGUAGCCGGCCUGAGAGGGUGGACGGCCACAUUGGGACUGUGAUACGGCCCAGACUCCUACGGGAGGCAGCAGUGGGGAAUAUUGCACAAUGGGCGCAAGCCUGAUGCAGCGACGCCGCGUGGGGGAUGACGGCCUUCGGGUUGUAAACUCCUUUCAGCCAUGACGAAGCCCUUGUGGUGACGGUAGUGGUAGAAGAAGCACCGGCUAACUACGU
rnacentral:rRNA from 1 species